GUGGAGUUUAUGGCGUCAAAGAAGUUUAUGGUGACCGCCCGAACAUGGACUGCGGCCGAGGGAUGUUUUGCCCGUUUUGUGGCAAACACAUGAACAGCUUAACGCGGUUUUGCUUUACGUGUGGUCGGUGUUUGGAGUUUUUAAAGGACGCGGACAAGACGGAAACAUUGGAAACACAGGGGACGUCUCGACAGCCGGACAGUGCUAUGCAAAAACAACCAUGCCCAUCAUACAAACAGUUCAUGGAGUACAGAAGCUCGAAAUCCAAAGAACGACAGUCUUUUAACUAUGGGCCAAAAGGAAGAUAUAGGCCUAAAGAAAGAAAACACGUCCAGAUAAACGUAGGAUUGAUGGUGCCAAGUGGAACUGAUUUAAAACCUCUAAGAGGGAAAACACUACCGUUAUUUACAGACCCAGAGGUAGCAGCACCUGAUCUACUGAAACAAGCUGUCCAGAAAAUGACAACAUUUAACAAGGACAUGCACGAAGGACCUUAUGUCCUUUUGUAUCCAGACUGCUCAGAGGUGGUUCAUGUGCCUGGGUCAGAAAGGCCAUUCAAAUUGGCAGAAUAUAAAAAGGAAAUAGGAAAGGCAUAUUCCAGGAUCACUUUUUUUCAUUUGCCUAGAAAAACACUAUAAAAGAGUGGAUGAUACCUCAGACUCUGAUUCUGAAAUUGUCAUCACAACAAGGAGCACAGCUGAACUCAAUCGUGCUGACACUUUGGU